AACGAACGCUGGCGGCAUGCCUAACACAUGCAAGUCGAACGAGACCUUCGGGUCUAGUGGCGCACGGGUGCGUAACGCGUGGGAACCUGCCCUUAGGCUCCGAAUAACUCCCCGAAAGGGGUGCUAAUACCGGAUAAUGUCCUCGGACCAAAGAUUUAUCGCCUUUGGAUGGGCCCGCGUUGGAUUAGCUAGUUGGUAGGGUAAAAGCCUACCACGGCGACGAUCCAUAGCUGGUCUGAGAGGAUGAGCAGCCACACUGGGACUGAGACACGGCCCAGACUCCUACGGGAGGCAGCAGUGGGGAAUAUUGGACAAUGGGCGAAAGCCUGAUCCAGCAAUGCCGCGUGAGUGAUGAAGGCCUUAGGGUUGUAAAGCUCUUUUACCCGGGAUGAUAAUGACAGUACCGGGAGAAUAAGCUCCGGCUAACUCCGUG
rnacentral:rRNA from 1 species